rnacentral:rRNA from 1 species
UACAACGAAGAGUUUGAUCCUGGCUCAGGAUGAACGCUAGCGGCAGGCUUAACACAUGCAAGUCGAGGGGU